CCGAGUGGCGGACGGGUGAGUAACGCGUGGGUAACCUGCCUCAUACAGGGGGAUAACAGUUAGAAAUGACUGCUAAUACCGCAUAAGACCACAGCACCGCAUGGUGCAGGGGUAAAAACUCCGGUGGUAUGAGAUGGACCCGCGUCUGAUUAGGUAGUUGGUGGGGUAACGGCCUACCAAGCCGACGAUCAGUAGCCGACCUGAGAGGGUGACCGGCCACAUUGGGACUGAGACACGGUCCAA
rnacentral:rRNA from 1 species